rnacentral:rRNA from 1 species
UGUCCUACGGGACGCAGCAGUGAGGAAUAUUGGUCAAUGGGCGGGAGCCUGAACCAGCCAAGCCGCGUGGACGAGGAAGGUCUUCGGAUCGUAAAGUUCUGUUGAAGGGGAAAAAGAGCGGAGAGAGGAAAUGGUCUCCGAUUGAUAUUACCCUUCGAGGAAGUCACGGCUAACUACGUGCCAGCAGCCGCGGUAAUACGUAGGUGGCGAGCGUUAUCCGGAAUGAUUGGGCGUAAAGGGUGCGUAGGCGGCCUGCUAAGUCUGGAGUGAAAGGUACCGGCUCAACCGGUACAGGCUCUGGAAAC